UACACUCCUACGGGAGGCAGCAGUGGGGAAUUUUGGACAAUGGGGGCAACCCUGAUCCAGCAAUGCCGCGUGAGUGAAGAAGGCCUUCGGGUUGUAAAGCUCUUUUGUCAGGGAAGAAACGGUGGUGGCGAAUAACUACUACUAAUGACGGUACCUGAAGAAUAAGCACCGGCUAACUACGUGCCAGCAGCCGCGGUAAUACGUAGGGUGCAAGCGUUAAUCGGAAUUACCGGGCGUAAAGCGUGCGCAGGCGGUUGUGUAAGUCAGAUGUGAAAUCCCCGGGCUCAACCUGGGAAUUGCAUUUGAGACUGCACGGCUAGAGUGUGUCAGAGGGGGGUAGAAUUCCACGUGUAGCAGUGAAAUGCGUAGAUAUGUGGAGGAAUACCGAUGGCGAAGGCAGCCCCCUGGGAUAACACUGACGCUCAUGCACGAAAGCGUGGGGAGCAAACAGGAUUAGAAACCCGAGUAGUCCCAUGA
rnacentral:rRNA from 1 species